rnacentral:rRNA from 1 species
CCUACGGGCGGCAGCAGUGGGGAAUAUUGGACAAUGGGCGAAAGCCUGAUCCAGCCAUGCCGCGUGUGUGAAGAAGGCCUUCGGGUUGUAAAGCACUUUCAGUGGGGAAGAAAGCCUUGGGGCUAAUACCCUCGAGGAAGGACAUCACCCACAGAAGAAGCACCGGCUAACUCCGUGCCAGCAGCCGCGGUAAUACGGAGGGUGCGAGCGUUAAUCGGAAUUACUGGGCGUAAAGCGCGCGUAGGCGGUCUGAUAAGCCGGUUGUGAAAGCCCCGGGCUCAACCUGGGAACGGCAUCCGGAACUGUCAGGCUAGAGUGCAGGGGAGGAAGGUAGAAUUCCCGGUGUAGCGGUGAAAUGCGUAGAGAUCGGGAGGAAUACCAGUGGCGAAGGCGGCCUUCUGGACUGACACUGACGCUGAGGUGCGAAAGCGUGGGUAGCAAACAGGAUUAGAUACCCUGGUAGUC